rnacentral:rRNA from 1 species
ACCAUACUCCUACGGGAGGCAGCAGUGGGGAAUUUUACGCAAUGGGGGAACCCUUGACGUAGCGGACACCGCGUGAGCGAAGAAGCCCCCUUGGGGNUGUNAAGCUCUGUCAGCUGGAACGAAAAAAAUGACGGUACCAGCAGAGGAAGCAUCGGCUAANUACGUGCCAGCAGCCGCGGUAAGACGUAGNAUGCGAGCGUUGUCCGGAUUUAUUGGGCGUAAAGAGUUCAUAGGUGGUUUGUCAAGUCUGAUGUUAAAGAUCGGGGCUCAACCCUGGGACUGCAUUGGAUACUUGGCAGACUUGAGUGUGGUAGAGGCUAGUGGAAUUCCCAGUGUAGCGGUGAAAUGCGUAGAUAUUGGGAAGAACACCGGUGGCGUAGGCGACUAGCUGGGCCAUAACUGACACUGAGGAACGAAAGCCAGGGUAGCGAAUGGGAUUAGAUACCCCAGUAGUCCUGGCCGUAAACGAUGGAUACUAGGCGUAUCGGGUAUCGACCCCUGAUGUGCCGCAGCUAACGCGAUAAGUAUCCCGCCUGAGUAGUAUCGGCCGCAAGGUUGAAACUCCAAAGGAAUUGACGGGGGCCCGCACAAGCGGUGGAACAUGUGGUUUAAUUCGAAGCAACGCGAAGAACCUUACCAGGGCUUGACAUGCCAGGAACCUUUCGGAAACGAGAGGGUGCCCGCAAGGGAGCCUGGACACNAGGUGGUGCAUGGCUGUCGUCAGCUG